UCAUUUUGGGAGAGGGAAAAACUUGAAGAGCUUAAGAUUGAGUGUUAAGGCUGAUUUUCUUUGAGUGUUUGACAAAUCAGAAAUUACUGUUUCUUGCAUCUUUCUGUGUUCCUUUGGUAUUGUUGGAUUUCAGUUCGGUAUUUUAUGGCUUUUAUUGGUUGAGCAUUGUUCCAUUGGCUUUCUACCUGGUUUUCUUUAAAUCUGCCACUGGAUGUCUAUUACUGGUUAUUAUUGGCUUCACUGGUUGUAGUUGUGUUGCUGAAUUUACUGUGUUUCUUCGACUGAUUUUCCUCUUCUUCCUUUGAUUUCCAUAUGAGGUAUACAACUGAUACCUCUUGUAAGUUGAAAUAUUGAGGCAUGAAUACAAAGGAUGAGGAGUUGAAGUUGUAAAUUUUAAUUAGCUUCUUCUUCUUUAUUUAGUGUACUUGGGUCAUGUUAUACACUGCUUAUGUAAGUUUUUGCCUUGUAUAAGUGGGUGUUCCCUUUUGGCAGUAGUUUAGUUGUAAGCAUCCUCCCUUGUAUGUUUAGUUGAAAAGGAAUAAUGGCGUAGGAAACCAUGUUCUGUUAUUGCAUAUUGCUUGGUGAAUAUUCUAUCUCAAAAAGCAUUUUAGAUACCAAUAGUUACUUCAUUGAACAAAUGGCCUGUUUUGAAACUUAUAGGAAUGUUGUUUAAUUAGAUACCGUUGAUUAAUUUCAGCAUGUAAAUGGUUUAGGA
rnacentral:lncRNA from 1 species